GCUGGGAUAGCUCAGCCAGUAGAGCAUGGGAUUCUUACUCUCAGGGUUGUGGGUUUGAGCCCUACAUUGGGCA